UACGAAUCGUGCGAACGUUGUUCGGAAUCACUGGGCUUAAAGGGCGCGUAGGCGGCCCGGCCAGUCCGUGGUGAAAUUCACCGGCCCAACCGGUGAACUGCCUCGGAAACUGCCGGGCUCGAGGGUGAUAGGGGCGUGCGGAACGAGUGGUGGAGCGGUGAAAUGUGUUGAUAUCACUCGGAACUCCGGUGGCGAAGGCGGCACGCUGGGUCACUUCUGACGCUGAGGCGCGAAAGCCAGGGGAGCAAACGGGG
rnacentral:rRNA from 1 species